rnacentral:rRNA from 1 species
GAUGAACGCUAGCGGCAGGCCUAAUACAUGCAAGUCGGACGGGAUUCAGGAGCUUGCUUCUGAUGAGAGUGGCGCACGGGUGCGUAACACGUAUGUAACCUACCUUUAUCAGGGGGAUAGCCUCUCGAAAGAGAGAUUAAGCCCGCAUAAAAUCACAGCACAGCAUUGUGUAAUGAUCAAAUAUUUAUAGGAUAAAGAUGGGCAUGCGGAACAUUAGCUAGAUGGCGGGGUAACGGCCCACCAUGGCGACGAUGUUUAGGGGAUCUGAGAGGAUGGCCCCCCACACUGGUACUGAGACACGGACCAGACUCCUACGGGAGGCAGCAGUAAGGAAUAUUGGUCAAUGGGAGGAAGCCUGAACCAGCCAUGCCGCGUGCAGGAAGACGGCCCUACGGGUUGUAAACUGCUUUUAUACGGGAAUAAACCCAGAUACGUGUAUCUGGCUGAAUGUACUGUAAGAAUAAGGAUCGGCUAACUCCGUG